rnacentral:misc_RNA from 1 species
CAUCACAAGAGAUUGAGGACCUUACAAAGGUUUAAAUAUAAAAAAGAAGAACUAAAUAUAAAAAAGAAGAUCGAACAUAUAGUCAUUGAUGUCUAAAGACGAUUCAAAUUUCAAAAUAAUGCCAGCCCUGCAAUAGACUAUAUAAUGAUAAAUCACACCUAGAUAAAGAUCAAUUCUCUAAAAUACCUCCUAAAUCUAAAAUUAUAAAUUAG